rnacentral:rRNA from 1 species
AUUGAACGCUGGCGGCAGGCCUAACACAUGCAAGUCGAGCGGAUGAGUGGAGCUUGCUCCAUGAUUCAGCGGCGGACGGGUGAGUAAUGCCUAGGAAUCAGCCUGGUAGUGGGGGACAACGUUUCGAAAGGAACGCUAAUACCGCAUACGUCCUACGGGAGAAAGUGGGGGAUCUUCGGACCUCACGCUAUCAGAUGAGCCUAGGUCGGAUUAGCUAGUUGGUGAGGUAAAGGCUCACCAAGGCGACGAUCCGUAACUGGUCUGAGAGGAUGAUCAGUCACACUGGAACUGAGACACGGGCCAGACUCCUACGGGAGGCAGCAGUGGGGAAUAUUGGACAAUGGGCGAAAGCCUGAUCCAGCCAUGCCGCGUGUGUGAAGAAGGUCUUCGGAUUGUAAAGCACUUUAAGUUGGGAGGAAGGGCAGUAAGUUAAUACCUUGCUGUUUUGACGUUACCAACAGAAUAAGCACCGGCUAACUUCGUGCCAGCAGCCGCCGUAACAC